rnacentral:tRNA from 1 species
GCAUCCGUAGCUCAACUGGAUAGAGUACUGCCCUCCGAAGGCAAAGGUUGGAGGUUCAAAUCCUCUCGGAUGCGCCA